GUAUUGUGUUGAUUCAGAGAGAGGAAGAGUAGGUUUCAUUAACUCUGAAAUUUCCAUUCUUCCUUCAGGAGACCUUUUCACUUUGGUGUUGAACUGAAACUGUGCCAUUACUUUCCCGUAAGAGGCUGUUUCUUUUGGUGGAAGAGUGUUUUCUUAUGGAAAGAGAAUAAGAAGAUGUCUAAAUGGUCCUCUAUCCCAGAAAAGGGAAGUAAGUACAGUGUACUGUGGAUGAACCUUUUCUGAUCCUGAGAAGCUGAGCCUGGUGGUAAAUGCCAGGGUCUCUCUGCAUUCAGCACCAAGGAGUGGACAGCGCCACCAGCACGGGUUGCCUGCGGGAGCUCCGCUUCUGAGUUCCAAGAAUCGCCGUCCCCGCAAGAAUCAAACUAUUUCCUUUUGACUGGAGCCCAGGAUCAGGCUGCUUGCAUGGCCCUCCCAAAGGAUGAAAAGACCAAAUAUCUUGAGGCACAUCUAUAAUCCUACAGGCUAGGAAGUUCUAUCUACAGGAAUGAAGGUAAACUAUAAAUAACCUCUGGAAAUGAGAUGAAGUUGUUUAUAAAAAGAUAACAGAUAAUGAACCUUGACUUCAAAGUUCUACUAAUUAAGAGCUUCAUCUGAAGGGAUGAAACCAGAAUAUGAAGGUAAUACAUGUUGUCAUGAGAAGCAGCCUGCCAGUGCAGGAGACACAGGUUUGAUCCUUAAGUUGGGAAGAUCCCCUG
rnacentral:lncRNA from 1 species